GGGCGCUUGGCGCAGUGGUUAGCGCGCUGCUUCGACAUAGCAGAGGUCGUGGGUUCAAAUCCCUCAGUGCCCACAA
rnacentral:tRNA from 1 species